rnacentral:sRNA from 1 species
UGCAAAGUGUUGGGAGUAGACCGCGGGC